CAUGUCCCAGCCACAACAAGGGUCCUCUUGACUAGCAAUAGGAAAUCCAGCUUGGUUCAGAAGUACAAAAAGGCUUCCUUCUUUGAUCCAAGAAACGCAAGCUCUUAUUUUAGAUACACAUGCUCCUGGGAGGCUUUGGGCAGUGCUGCUUUAUAGAGUUUUCCGGGGUGGGGUGGGGAGGGAUGGGGGCGGGGUUAUACAGGUUGUUCCAAGCUCUCAGAUUGCCGCGCUGGGUGGAGCAUACGAGGUCACUGCCGCCAUCUUCAGUUGCCGUCUUUCUACAGGCUUGUGUGAGCUGAGGCUUCUGGAGCAGACUUUUCUCAGAAAUUCUGGUCUGAAGUGCUGAGGCAAGACUUCUGUUGGUGACAUCUUUUGAGCAAGUGAGACUAGGCUAAGCACAAAGGAGAAGAAAAAAGAAAAGGAGCUCCUAUUUUCUCCCUGCUCUUGAUGUCUGUCUGUGGUACUGCAGUAUCUGGGGCUUCAACAAGCUGCUGAGCUCUCACUGGCUGCCAUCAGCCAAAGCACGAUUUUAUCCAACUUAUCAGCAGUCUAAGUCAGGCAAUCUACUUCCAGAAAAUCUGGAACAUUGGACAUAUAUUCUCUUCUUCUCAUUGUCUCCUGGGAGGGAAGCUACAAGUGGCACAUUUUCUCAACUUGACCAAAGUUACGCCAACUUCAGGUUUAGAGCACUUUGUGAAAGCAAUAAUUGUACUGGGACUACAGCUGGCAGACUUCCAUGGUAGAAAAGUAGAAUGAGGUUGCUACAAUACUUUUCAAUGUUCAAAGGCAAAUGAAGCAGCCUAUGUAGUUUCAUUAAGAAAUUACACUGUCUCUAACACUGGAACUAAUUAGAAUUGGUUUGAAUAGUGAUUGUUGUUCAGUAACUUUCCUAAUUUAAGUUGGAGAGACAUCACGGAAAUAUUUUUUUGUUUUUUUUUUCGGAUUGCCAGUACCAGAGGGAGGGAUGCUGUGAACACACCAAAUAAAGGAGACAUGUAAUGAAUCAUGAGUGUGCAUUUAAUUCAUUGAUAUUUUUUAAUAAAACAAGGCAAAUACUUCUAAUCCCUUUAGAAAGACCUAAAGGAAAGGUAGACUUGAUUUGCAUUCUGUUUCUCUAUUUCUUACAUCUUUCAUAUUUGUCUUUAUUGUUAAAUAUAUAUCAUGUGCACAGAGGUGCAAUAACUUUCUCCACAAAUUUGGCUGACCAUGUUUUAUGAUGGAAUAACUCCUUAUUCUUUAAAAAAUUGUUUUCUCACCUUUUCAGCAAUGACUCAUCAUUUUCUCAUUUGGGGAAAUAUGAUACUUUGUAAUUCAUUAUUUCACUGAAACACCUACUCUCUUAA